rnacentral:lncRNA from 1 species
UGGAAAUCCCCGAGUGGGUCUGCCAGGCCACUGAUUAAGGGGAAGUGUGUGUGGUUAUUACCGCUGGAGUUCCCCUAAAUCUUAAGAGGAAAGCACCAGCGAACAAGCAAACCGCUGGGACGAGUGCGGGACAAAUGGAGCGGGGUGGGGGUGGGGAAGGGGAGGAGCGGGGGUGGGGGAAGACGUUUAAAAGGCAGCGUGAGACUCCAGCCCGCACCGAACAGCGGGCCGACGGCUGUCACCCGCCAAGCCUCGGCCGGCACAACCCGACUGCCGCGCACCUGCCGGGGUCAGCAGGCCGGGCGGUAGAGCUGAGGUUUUACAAAAGAGACGAACUGUUCUACUUCUAGGUUUAUUCCAGUUUUUUCUAUAAAUCAAACAUCUCAAAAUGGAGGCCUAAAACUCUUAAAAGGGACUUAGUCUAAUCUCCGGGAGGUAGUUUUGUGCAUGAAUAAACAAAGUAGUUAACAGGAGUUUUUGGUAUCGAAAGAAUGUUAAUUUUAAAAAUAUGAUUUGGUUAUAAGAGGUAUAACUAUAAAGUAAUAAUAAGUUUGAUUCUGAAUUUGAUUUGUGGAUAUCAAGAAAUGAUUGUAGCUGGGACAUAUUGUUGAACUACUUUUCUCAAAGUUGGCCAGGCAGUCUCCCACUGGCUGCUGUGUAGAAUAGAAAAAAGUACCUGUGUUUGGUAAAGAUUUUAAAAUGAGUGACAGUUAUCUAGAACAAAGAGUUAAUAUUCAACCCUCUGCUAAAUUAGAGAAACAUGCAUAUAAAACCUUUGGCAUGUUAAAAGAUUUCUGCGAUGACAAAGAAAUGUCAAGAAUAAAACUUUUUGAUAGGUGCAACAAAUUUAGAGCAAGUAUGAAAGAUAAACGUGAUGAUUGGUAAAGAAAUUAACCAUUUAUAAGACUGUUGAUAUUUUGAAAGUCAAAACUUUAGUUUGUUCAAAUGGGCUGUUAUUUCUGAGAAUAAUUAGAAUGAGAAUGAUGACUGGAUGGUUACAUUUUGGUAAAUGAACAAACUUAUUCCAAAAGAAAAUUCACACAGAGACAGUAGUAACACCAAGAAUGAAAGGAAUACUGAAGUUAGACAUAAUAAUUCACCUCUGAGGUCAGUUAUCACUAGUGUUUAGAUAUGUUUCUUCUCCCACCUGGAAAUAAAGCAUUGAAGUCUGCAGUAAAAAGCCCCAACAUAUGUGGGACCCAGGAAGCAUGCUUGCAAAACACUUCUAGAAAAAAAAAAACAUGUUGACUUGUUUAUUGGUUAUUACUGACAUUAUUGACACAGAACCUACUGACUAAUAGCUACUUAUAAUUGAGAAAUUCUGAAUUUUGAGAUCUCUGCUGUUCAAAAGAAGUGGAUUGUGACAAAAUAAAUUUAUUAUUUUUUGUCAUGAUAAAUUCUGGUUCAAGGUAUGCUAUCUGUGAAAUAAUUUCUGACCAAAGCCAGAUUUUUUUAUCCAUCUUUUUUUUUUUUUUGAUUAUUUAGCUUGCAGACUCAGCACUCUGACUGUUGACUGUUUUUAAAAGUAAAUCCAUUAUCAGGAGAUUAGAUUUUGGUUCUCAACAGCAUGAAGCUGAGUCUAAAAGACCAAGUGAGCAAAUAUAUUCAUCUCUGAUAAUUUAUUUGAAAUGCAUUGUUUAAUUUGCUAAGAUCUAGUGGCAUUGCUAUGACUAAGCAAUCAGGUACCUAUCUAUGGGAAGUAAUUAUUAUUUAAUAAAUCUUGAAACCAGGUCUUGAGAUGUAGGAACCAAUUCUAUUAUUACUUAAGCUCUUUAUUUGGAAGAAAAUUUUGAAUUGUUUUGUUCUCCCUAAUAAAAUGAUUGUAGGAAGAAAAAUUAAUUUGAGCAAGAUUUUGGAUAGACUGUAUUUCAUUGAAUCUAAGAUGUCAUCAUUUGUAAAGCACACCAUUAUUUUAUGUACCUCUAAGAAAUAAAAAUGCUGUUAAUUAAAAUGUGACAUGCCAUUCAUUAAUUGUAAGAUACCUCUCCAUAGCACAGAUGUUAAAACAUGCAUCUUAGAAUCAAUGAAAUAUGAUAGUCCAUUCUUUUCCUCUUUCGAGGUAGUCUUAUGCUUUUUUUUUUUUCUGGCUACAAAAUUUCACAAUUUAAAAACAAACAUAGUUUGAAUAUUUUUGUGUGUAUAGAACACUUACACAGCAUAGCUUUCUGCCAAAACAAACUAGCUAUGUGAGACAUUUUAUCUUCAGGCUGACUGGAUGUCACUGAAGCAUACUAGUGGAGAGGGUGACCUACCUGUGGAGAUAUCUGACACUAAAUGGCAUCUUGAUGACCUAAAGCACUCUACACUUUUAUGAAGGGUUUUAAUUUUCAUCACAAGGUACUGUGUAGCAUCAUGUUUACAUUGUAUGCAAGAGUAUACAAAGGUGCAGAUACAUAAUUGGCCCUUAAACUGUAUCAAUAUAGGAUUUAGAAUCUUGCCAUGCUAUAACCCUAAAUGCAUAGAAGAAAAAAGAAUGAAAGAUUUCCUGUUCUAAGUGUUCAGUCUAGUACUAAAAUUAAUAAAAAUCAAAACCCAUGCACAAAACUACCUCCCCAGAGAAAGGCUAGUCCCUUU